AUGUAUAUAUUCAUACAUAUAUCCAUUCCGAAACAUCCACAAGCAGACAAGAAAAGACCGAUGUACCCCCGCACAUUGGGAACGAAGCUUCGAACUGAGCUCGGUAAAACGGGGCAAGGUAAACAAAAAAUCUACUGUGCGAAAUGCACGAAAAAGUGCUCCGGCGAGGUGCUUCGCGUGGCGGACAACCACUUCCACAAGGCCUGCUUCCAGUGCUGCCAGUGCAAGAAGUCCCUGGCCACCGGCGGAUUCUUCACAAAGGACAACGCCUACUACUGCAUACCGGACUACCAGCGGCUGUACGGCACCAAGUGCGCGAAUUGCCAGCAGUACGUGGAGGGCGAGGUGGUCAGCACCAUGGGCAAGACUUAUCACCAGAAGUGCUUCACCUGCUCCAAGUGCAAGCAGCCCUUCAAGUCGGGCAGCAAGGUAACCAACACCGGAAAGGAGGUGCUUUGCGAGCAGUGCGUCACGGGUGCUCCAGUGUCGCCCAGUCGCCAGGCGACGAGCGGUGGCGUCUCCUCGCCAGCUCCUCCGGCGGAGAGUCCAACGAGGGCCACUGCCCACCAGCAGCACGGCGGGGUGAUCUCCCACAAGGCGCACCUUAAGGAGGACUACGAUCCCAAUGACUGUGCCGGCUGCGGCGAGCUGCUGAAGGAGGGCCAGGCCCUGGUGGCGCUGGACCGGCAGUGGCACGUAUCCUGUUUCCGGUGCAAGGCCUGCCAGGCGGUGCUCAAUGGGGAGUACAUGGGCAAGGACGCGGUGCCAUACUGCGAAAAGUGCUACCAGAAGGGAUUCGGGGUGAAGUGCGCCUACUGCAGCCGCUUCAUCAGCGGCAAGGUGCUCCAGGCGGGCGACAACCACCACUUCCAUCCGACCUGUGCCCGCUGCACAAAGUGCGGCGAUCCCUUUGGCGACGGCGAGGAGAUGUACCUGCAGGGCAGUGCUAUCUGGCAUCCGCGAUGCGGUCCGGGUCCCUCCGAGUCUGGCAUAAUCUUGAAUGGCGGCGGACGCACUACGUCGGUGGUCGGAGGUGCCUCCAAUGGCAACUUCACAGAUACUGAAUGCGACCGGAUGAGCUCCAGUGCCCUUAGCGAGAUGCACUACCGAACGGCGAGUCCGGGUUUGAUACUCCGGGAGUACGGGCGACCCAAUGCCGAGGACAUCUCGCGCAUCUACACCUACAGCUAUCUGACGGAUGCGCCGCACUAUCUGCGCAAACCGAUCGAUCCGUAUGACAAGACGCCGCUGUCGCCGCACUUCCACCGGCCCUCCUCAUACGCGACCACGGCCAGCAAUGCGGGAUCCGUGGCCGGAAGCCGUCCGCCGUCGCGUCCCCACUCGCGGACCCGCAGCGCCAUGAAGGUCCUGGUGGACGCCAUCCGCUCGGAGACGCCGCGUCCCAAGAGUCCUGGCAUGAACAACGAGGAGCCCAUUGAGCUGUCUCACUAUCCGGCCGCCAAGAAGCCGCCGCCAGGUGAGCAGCCAAAGAUCGAACGGGAUGACUUCCCCGCUCCGCCGUAUCCCUACACAGAUCCGGAGCGCCGGCGGCGGUACAGUGAUACCUACAAGGGAGUGCCCGCCUCCGAUGACGAGGACGAGAAUGUGGAGAAUGGCAAGCAGAAUGGCAAGGUCAAGAAUGGCGAGGAGCAGCAACGCCUUCAACGCGAAGCCGAGCAGCUGGAAAAGCUCAACUCGGGCAUCGGCUCGGCGAUCGCCAAGGACCUCAAGGAGCACGCCAAGUACAGGAAGUGGAAGCAGAACAAUCUGGAUCCGCGCAACGCAUCCAGGACGCCCUCCGCUUCCAAGGAGCCAAUCUACAAAUUGAGAUACGAAUCGCCCAUUGGAGCCUCGCCCUCGCGUAAUCUGGACCACCAGAAGCCCUUCUACGAGGACGAGAUGUUCGAUCGCUCCACCAGCUACCGGGGCUCGCUUGGCAAAUCGCUGGGAAACGCGCCCAGCUACAAUGCCAUACAUUCCUACCGAUCGCCGCCCAAGCCCGGAUACGGAUUCAAAACGACUACUCUGCCCUAUAUACGCAAUGGCUACAGCUCCGAUUUCUCUUAUGGAGGGCUGGGCGACAAGACCCACAGCACAGAUUUGAGCUGCGGCAAAUCGGAGGCAUCUGUGGACUCGAUCACCGAGGGCGAUAGGCGAGCUCUGAUGGGCGGCGACCUGCCCGCCUCGAGCACUUACUCAGGAGCACUCUCCUACCACUAUCCGCAGGCUGGACUCAUCCGGCGCAGUCUGCCCAACAUGUCCCAUUCGAUGCUGGUGCACGAGCCGGCCAAGAUCUAUCCCUAUCACCUACUGCUAAUCACAAACUACCGUCUGCCCUCGGACGUAGAUCGCUGUAACCUAGAGCGCCAUCUGUCGGACAUCGAGUUCGAGCACAUCUUGCAGUGCGCCAGGUCGGAGUUCUACCGGCUUCCCCAGUGGCGACGCAACGAGCUGAAGCGGCGGGUGAAGCUCUUCUAGGUGGCAAGUGGAAGGCGAAGCAUGCGAGGAUAGGCAACCCAAGUGGAGGAGUUUGAGGAGGAGGAGGAGGA
rnacentral:misc_RNA from 1 species